rnacentral:rRNA from 1 species
GGGAAUUUUCCGCAAUGGGCGAAAGCCUGACGGAGCAAUACCGCGUGAGGGAUGACGGCCUAUGGGUUGUAAACCUCUUUUUUCAGGGAGGAAUCAAUGACGUGUACCUGAAGAAUAAGCAUCGGCUAACUCC